rnacentral:rRNA from 1 species
UAGGGAAUCUUCGGCAAUGGACGGAAGUCUGACCGAGCAACGCCGCGUGAGUGAAGAAGGUUUUCGGAUCGUAAAGCUCUGUUGUAAGAGAAGAACGAGUGUGAGAGUGGAAAGUUCACACUGUGACGGUAUCUUACCAGAAAGGGACGGCUAACUACGUGCCAGCAGCCGCGGUAAUACGUAGGUCCCGAGCGUUGUCCGGAUUUAUUGGGCGUAAAGCGAGCGCAGGCGGUUAGAUAAGUCUGAAGUUAAAGGCUGUGGCUUAACCAUAGUAGGCUGUGGAAACUGUUUAACUUGAGUGCAAGAGGGGAGAGUGGAAUUUCAUGUGUAGCGGUGAAAUGCGUAGAUAUAUGGAGGAACACCGGUGGCGAAAGCGGCUCUCUGGCUUGUAACUGACGCUGAGGCUCGAAAGCGUGGGGAGCAAACAGGAUUAGAUACCCUGGUAGUCCACGCUGUAAACGAUGAGUGCUAGGUGUUAGACCCUUUCCGGGGUUUAGUGCCGUAGCUAACGCAUUAAGCACUCCGCCUGGGGAGUACGACCGCAAGGUUG